UACGUAGGGGGCAAGCGUUGUCCGGAAUCAUUGGGCGUAAAGAGCGUGUAGGCGGCCCGGUAAGUCCGCUGUGAAAGUCGGGGGCUCAACCCUCGAAUGCCGGCGGAUACUGUCGGGCUAGAGUCCGGAAGAGGCGAGUGGAAUUCCUGGUGUAGCGGUGAAAUGCGCAGAUAUCAGGAAGAACACCUAUGGCGAAGGCAGCUCUCUGGGACGGUACUGACGCUGAGACGCGAAAGCGUGGGGAGCGAACAGG
rnacentral:rRNA from 1 species